rnacentral:lncRNA from 1 species
UGUUGAAUACAUUACAUGUGUGCCUUCAGGUUCGUGAUCUUUAAACACUGCUUAUUUGUUUUGAUCCAAAGUUUUCAGUGUUUCACUAUGAGCUAGGUAUGAAGUUUUUGGAACUGUUGCCUUUAAGUCUAUUGCUUAAAAUGUUCCAUUAGUAUCAUCGAAGUGAGAAACUAGCAAUGGUGACAAAAAUCGAGUUAGAAUGGCAAAAUAGGAAUUUUCAGGUUGUAUAUGGUCCUUGUGUUUCUUCUUUCAGAUAUGUGGACCACUUCUCAAUGAAGAUCAGCUUCGUCCGAUCGUGGAUGAGAUAAAGCAUGUCAUUACAGAGAGUUCAAAUAGCCAAGGAAAACUCACAGAGAGAGAAAAAACAGAAGAUUUUGAUGCUGAGGAAGCUGAAUUGCUGAGAGGGGAAAAACAUCGACAAGAUCAAAUAUUUAAACUUGUAUGUUCUAUAUUAAAACAGUGAUUCACUGUUGUCUUUAUAUAUUCAAGAAUUUUCACUUUGGUUCUGCUGUUAUUCUUGAACACAGGCUGGUCUCAUAUUAUGUAGACUGAUCGAAACAUUCAAGGUUGUUUUCUUGCCUUACUUUGACGAGUUAUCAUUAUAUCUGAUUCCGAUGUGGGUAAGUUCAUUGACACUAUUGUAACAUGAUGUUAGUUUAUCAUUAUUCAUAUCUAGUAUAUCUUAUUGUUUCCGAUUUUUGUUAAGGACAAAGAAAUGACAAUUCAAGAGAGAUGUACAUCACUUUAUAUCUUUGAUGGUCUUGUGAAGCAUUGCUCUGAAGCAGCUCUAAAGUGAGUUUAAUUUAUCUGUAUGAGUUUUCUUAAAUUAUUGGGGUGUCACCAUUUUGAUAAAUCACUUACUUCCUAUGCCAACUAGGUACUGUGAUGUAUUUCUACCUUUGCUUCUGAAAUCAAGCAACGACGAAAACCCAGCAGUUAGACAGGUUUGGAUCAUCGUGAUUGCUUACAUUCCUGUUACUCAAGUUGGUUGCUCACAGUAUGGUUUAACCAAAACACCAAUGACUUCAUGUUCAGAAUGCUCUAUAUGGACUUGGGCUUUAUGCAGAAUAUCAUGGUUCUGUUUUCAAACCUUUUGUUAGAGGUAUUAAUAUUAUUGAAUGUGAUACUUCUAAUCAAGCAAGUGUUUUUGUUAACUUACGCGUUUAUGUUCAGAGGCUAUGUCACGGAUCAAUGUAGUGAUAAUGCAUUUACGUGCUCGUGAACCUGAGAAUGAACUUGCAUAUGAUAAUGCUGUUUCUACCCUUGGUAAAAUAUUUCAGUUUCAUCGAGAACUUAUCGACUCAGCCCAGGUUUGUCCUUCUCAGAAUCCCUAAUGUUAAGUCUUGUUAUAAUUUCUGAUUCUGAAUCCUUGUGUAGGUCAUUCCCAUUUGGUUGAAUUGCCUGCCUAUAAAAGGUGACCUUCCUGAAGCCAAAUAUGUUCAUGGUCAACUAUGUUCCAUGGUUGAAAGGUAUUGGAUUUGUUUGCAAACUCUAAUAUGUCAUAUCUUCAUAGUCUUUAAAAUGUUUUAUAUCAAAUUUUUUCACUUGCAGGUCAGACAGAGAACUUUUAGGUCCCAAAUAUGAACACUUUCCAAAAAUUAUGUCAGUUUUUGCAGAGGUUAGUUCCAUAUCAGACUCUACAGAUGCCAGUUUGAGUUGUUCAUUUGUUCCUGAUAGAUAUUUAAGGAGAGAAGUAUUGGAAAUAUUCCUAAACUAGGUGUGAAUUAUUAGUUUUAUCUUCGAACUAUUGACAACCUUAAAAACACUUAUUUACUUGACUAACACCCAUGAUCUUGCAAUAUGAGUGAAAUACACUCCUAAAUUCUCUCAAGUUUAUGGGUGCUUUGAACACUUCUCUCGACUUUUUAUUAAGAGUUUCAUGUCUUUACAAGAGUGUAUGCAAUGUGGCAGAUCAGAUAUGUAUCUAAGUUUAAGCUAGUCAAGUAGAUGGGUGUUUUUAAAACUGUCACUAAUUUGGAGACGAAACUAAUAAUUUGUGCCAAGUUUAAGGAUGUUUUCAACACUUGUCUCGUAUUUAAUCAAUCAUGAGACAUUUUUGGACCAAACUAUUGACCUAAAGAUAUUUUUAUUCGAUGUUGUAUAGUUAAUUUAGUUUUGCUUUUUAAGGUUUUACGUGGUGGAAAACAUCUUGCUACAGAAGAAACAGCAAAGUGUAUGAUUAAUCUGUUGAGGAAACUUGAGAAAGAAGUAGCACCAGACACCUUGAUAUCUGCAUGGUCAUUACUAUUGCCUAAGCAGGAGAUGGAACUGAAAUCCAUUCUAUUUCCUGGCAUACUUAUAAACCACAAAACAUUUUUUGUGCUUGGCAGUAAUUUCUCAAUUGUCAAAUUUCUUGAGGAAGAACUCCAGAAAAAUAUUACUAAUGUUCGACGAAUGUGACUUAUAAACCGUGUAUUGUAUCUUUAAUUUAGUUUUGUUACAGAAUAAUGUAUAGAUGAUACUAUAGUUGAUUUGUGGGAAUUUGAAUAUUUAAUUACCAUAAUUAGACUAUUCUCACUUAUUUAUAUCUUUGUAUUCUUUGAGUAGUACUCCCUCCAUUUCUAUUUAUAUGUCGUCCUUUUCUAAGGAUAGAUAAUAUUUAAUAUUUGACAUUUCACAAAACCAAUACAUAAAUAAAACGAUUCUUUCUAUUUUUACCUUUAAAAGCUAUUAGCCUUGAAAGUAUGAAUUUGACCAAUAUAGGAAAACUAAAUGAUUAGAUCAUUUUCAUUGAUCAAUUUAAUUAAUCAAAAUAAAUUAAUUUAUAUUCAUUUGUUGAAACUUGACUUCAAGAGAUCACUAAAUAAGGAUACACCAGUCAAUUCACCUAGACGUGAAAUCUAAAAUUGUGGCAUAUAAAUAGAAGUGAGGGGGUAGAUAAGAAAUUUUAUGUAACUUCUCUUGUUUUCGUGGUAUCAGAGCCUAAGGGCUCAAAUCUUUAGAUUCUCUAAAACAAAAUUUCAAUAAGGGGUCUACAGUAUAAAUAAAAUUUUAAUAUUCAAACAUUUCAAUAUUAUUUAAAUUAAUUUACCUUAGAGAUUGACAUAAUUCGAAAACCAAAUACCGAAUAAAUAAUUCAUAAAACUGAAAUUAUCAUCGCCGGACCAGUGACCACUAGUACCUCCAAACAACUCAAAAACAAACUACCACCCGAUCACACCAAAUCGGUCGUUACAUGAAAUGAGACAUUUCAUGGUAACGAUGGAUCUAAAUGAUACAAUACAAUAAAAUUUAAGUAACAAUCAACAUAAGUAUUGUAUUUAAACUAACUAUACAAUAUAAUGGGUAACAACCAUCCAAACAAGGUGUUAAUGUAAAAGCAUACAGAAUAUCAUAUAAUAAAGUUCAUAUAUCAAUGCAAUGGAUCCAUUGAAAGAAAGUAUUUUGAAGUACACACAAAACUCAAAAACAAGAAAAUUAUCCAUCUAGAUGGAUAUGAUUAUGCAUAAUGAACAGAGGAAACAGCUUAAGAGAAAAACUGGUCCAUUAGAUCCCCUCUUUCAAUCGCGAUCUUCUAUUUCUGCACAGCAAAGAAACACUUCUCAAAUAUAUUUUACGAAAGAUUUAACAGGUAAAAGUGUACAAGCUCAAAAUAUGAUGCAAUUAAUCUUGAGUCAGUUACCUGUUAAACCAGUGUUGCAGUUUUUUAUAUGCAAGGGGUAAAUAAGGACCUUGAGCUCUGCAUUUCCAUAUUCUUCUUGCACUUCUUGAAUGUCCUUGACUGACUUUUCAAGAGACUCACCACAUCGUUUCACUUCAACUAUCUUUAGAGUAGGAAUAUCUCCAAUCAUAGAAGGAAUUUCUUGAAGAUUAAAGCAGUUUUCUACCAGAAGCUGUUUGAGGUUAAGCAAGGACUCAUUUGAGGCAUUCCAUGUUGUUAUUUUAAGGGAACUUAAUUUAAGAACCUUGAGGUUCAGAAACUCUUCAUCUUCGAUCUCCCAUUUGUCCUGCUGAAAUGCUCUAUGUUCCAACUUGAGAACCACUAAAUUUGGUAAUCUUCCGAUAUUAGACAGUUCACUUUGUGGCAACAAAACAUCUGAUAGAGUUAGCUUUGUUAGUGUCGCGGGCAAGGUGAAAUUCAAAAUCUUACCAUUUACACUGAGUGUUUCAAGUUGAAGAGCAUCUAAUUUGAGUUUGAGAGGCUCUUUACAGUGGCAUUUGAGCUUUCGCAGUCUGCUUGCCUUCUUGACCAUGUAGUCUACUAGCUCAUUAGUGAGAGACACUGUGGCCAAAGUCUCUAUGUUUGUCGAUGUCUGAGGAAUGCGUCCAUCAAAAGAUGCAACAGGUUCAACAUGUACAUGCUUUAGCCUUGGCAUAUUCCAGAUGGUCAUCGGUAAAAUUGUGCCACUGCCUACUGUUAUUACAAGCAAUACCUCUAGGUUUGAAAGGUUCGAUAUCCAUAAUGGCAUAGAUACCAUAUAGCCUUUGAUUCCUAAGUACUUCAAAUGGAUCAGCUCUUUUGAUCUCUGGAAUGAACUGUCUGACAUAGGACAUUCCAUUUGUAGUACUUUUAAUAGUUUAAAGUUCUCGAGAUCAAGAAAUUCCUGGCAGCCAGAUUUCGGGGGUCUGAAGAAUGCAGAUCGAACUUGCAUGUUUCCAAUCUUCCCUGCCCAAUAAAGGCUAUGAUGAAUGCAAAGCCUCCGGUGCUCAUAAAAGGAACUAGACAAAUCAGUCUUCCCGGUGCUUGUUAGUUGCAUAAACUUCUCUUCCUUAGACUUUGUCAUGCAAAAAUCAUGUAACAUAUCAUGAAUGUGGCAUGUUCUGACUCCUCCAGUGGACUUUCUCUUGCUCACCAUUAUCAAGCUUCUACCAAUGAGAUCAUUCAGUAAACUUUCUACAGCAAGGUGUAUACUUUCUACCUCUAUGUUUGGCACCAAUCCCUCAAUAGUCCAUAACCACUCCAAGUUCGAGAGUGGAAUUUCUUCAUCCUUUUGAAAUGAUGCAAAAUAUAGAAGGCAGGGUUUGAGAUGAUCAGGCAAGUGCUUGUAGCUCAGUUCUAUAACCUCCAUGCACUCUUUUGCACUAGUAACAGUAUCUAACUUUAUACUUUCUGCGAUUCUUCUCUAAUUUUCCUCAUUUUUGCUUAUCCCAGACAAAACUCCAGCAACCAAAAUCACAAGGAGAGGUAGUCCUUUACACUUACUCGCGAUGUUUGCUCCACUUUUGAUAGGUCUGGUGGGCAAGUUUGUUCCUUGAACAGCUUGAUUCUCAUUAGUUCCCAACUUUCAUUUUCGUCAAGGAAACGAAGGUGAAGAGGUUCUCUAUCAGGGUUAAUUUCUGAAGCCACAUCGCUGAGUCUGCUAGUUAAUAAAAUCCUGCUUCCGUUAUUAUCAUCCGGGAAGCAUCCUCUCAAGUCAUCCCAUGUGUCAACACUCCAAAUGUCAUCAAUGUAGAGAAGGUACCUCUUCUUUUUUAAGAAUUUCUGCAAAGCAUCUGCUGGAUUUGACUCAUUCUGUUGAUUGGAACUUUUAACUUGAUUCAAAAUUUCAAGCAGCAACUUUCUCCUGUCAUAAGCUUGGGAAACACAACACUUAGCUUUGACAUCGAAAUGACGCCGCAUUUUCUCAUCAUGAAAAACUUUCUUUGCUAGUGUAGUUUUUCCAAGACCAGGCAUCCCUACGAUAGACACAACAUCCAAGUACUUUGGUCCUCUAGUGAGCCAGUUGAUUAGCAAGUCAAUCUCGUCCUUAAAACCCACCAUUACCUCAUCAAGUUGUGUAGUCUCAACUACUUGUCUGACAGGAUUUGGUGUUUGUUCUUCAAUAGGGACUUCAACUUCUCGCGUAAUCGUAGCAUGGAACUCUUUCAAAUGAUUCCUUACAACCUUAGUUUCUGUUGUGAUCUUACAUAACAAAUGUAGAUACCAAACAGGAUAAUCUCCGGUAACCAGGCAAUCAAUUAUGCAUUCUGCCUGGUAUGCUAGAGAUAUGACUUCUGUCCAUAGAUCAUGUUUCUUCACCUCCUCAAACUCAUGUUUUUUCUUCUCAACUUCCUUCAAGAAGUCUCGUACGAGACAUAACUCUUCCUGAGCUUCUUCAAUAAGAUGCUUGACAACAGAAUCACACUUUCCGUCUUGCAGCAGCUCUUCCAGAUAGCGUAAGAGGGAAUCGAUAAACCCCAAUCCAUUUGUCCUAGGAAAAUUACAUUUUGAUGACACUACAUCUUUCAGAAUCACAUCUUUUAGAUCUUCCAUGACAUGUUCAAUCUUUUUAACAAGUCACUGAAUACCGAGUUAACUUCUGCUGCUUUGUCAACGGAGAAAGAGAAAGCAGCAGAUACUACCUCAGCAAUCAGACCUUCAAUGCAAGUAAGUUUGUCACUCAUUUUUUCCUGGAUAACAUAUAAAUCUUCUGGUGGACAAAUGAGCAAAGUUACCAAUUGCUUUGAUGCUUCGGCAAGGCUUUUGAUUUGAUCCUUUUUAAGAGGAAGCAUCAAAGAACAUGCCUCACCGUCUGAUAACUCCAACAAAUCCUUGAAGAUGAAAUGAACAAAACCUUCAACAAAUUCUAUCACAUCCCGGCUGUAUUGGAUUUGCAAUUUAACUGAACCUCUUAGAGCUCCAGUAUAGAUUUCUGCAAUGUGCGGAUCAAUGGGCUUGAUAUCUUUCAAAACAUGAGAGAUUUGNNNNNNNNNNNNNNNNNNNNNNNNNNNNNNNNNNNNNNNNNNNNNNNNNNNNNNNNNNNNNNNNNNNNNNNNNNNNNNNNNNNNNNNNNNNNNNNNNNNNNNNNNNNNNNNNNNNNNNNNNNNNNNNNNNNNNNNNNNNNNNNNNNNNNNNNNNNNNNNNNNNNNNNNNNNNNNNNNNNNNNNNNNNNNNNNNNNNNNNNNNNNNNNNNNNNNNNNNNNNNNNNNNNNNNNNNNNNNNNNNNNNNNNNNNNNNNNNNNNNNNNNNNNNNNNNNNNNNNNNNNNNNNNNNNNNNNNNNNNNNNNNNNNNNNNNNNNNNNNNNNNNNNNNNNNNNUGGGCUGCAUAAAUUUGGUAAAGGCCACCUCCCUGGAACCAAUGAAAGGAGAAACUCAUAACCUUCUUUGACUUCAGCAGAAGAUAAGUCUGCCCUUGGUCCCGAGACAGUGUCACCGACUUGCAUUCCAUGUCUGCACAAUCUCCCCUCCUUAAUCCUUCCUUUUUCAUUUGCCCAAUACAAGAAAGUACCAAAAAAUCUCCUCUCUAUUUCAGACAUUUGUUUUCCAGCAGAAUUUCCUCAGAGUGGAUAUAUGUCGACAGCUCUGCAAGCAAAGAGAUUAAAAGCAAAUCACAUUCUAGGACAAACAAUGCAUACUCCAACUCUACACCAGCAAAACUCUGGUACCAUAAUCUAGCUGCUCUUCAUAUUGCGUCAAAUCCGGUGUAUCAUGAAAAAACUAAACAUAUUGAGGUUGAUUGCCAUUUUAUUCGCGAGAAGAUUCCGGAAAACAUGAUUUCCACUGGCUACGUGAAGAGAGGAGGGCAACUAGCUGAUUCUGUUCACAAAAAUGUUGAAUGGAACUCGAGUUGAUUAUCUUUGUAACAAGCUACUAUAAAGCUAUAUGUUUUCUUGUAUAUAAUAUUCUAGCUGAUUUCUAGGGAUUCAGAUAUCUAGUUACCUUAGUUAGCCUUUUCUUUACGUGUACUUAAAUCAGUGUAUUCUUUGGAUAAUAUACAAAUACAAGCUAUACUCUUAAACUUCAUUCUUUGAUAUAUAACAAUAGCUGAUUGCAUUAUGUCUGCAUUCAAAAUUAUGUAGCAAAAGAUGCAAGAAUUAAUACAAAUUAAGUUUGUUAUAAAAGUCUAUCACAUACCUUUUUAACAACUUUGGCAGAGCAGAAAGCAGUGAUCUAGGGUUCAUCAAUUUGUUCCACAAUUUUAACCAAAAACAACUAAAGUGGACUUGCUUUUAUAUGUGUGUUAAUCAUGGAAUACUUUUGAGAUUACUUAAUAUAAAGUAUAAUGAAACUAAAAAUUACAGAUAAAUGAAGACUAUAAAAUGAUGCAGCUUGAUUGUUUCAUUCUGGCCACUGGUAAUGGAUAAGAAAUGAUUUGUUUUCCUCUGUUUCAAUUUGUUUGGCCUAUUUUGAUAUGACGUGAAGUUGUAGAAAGUGAAAAAGACUUUUGAAUCUUAUGGUCUUAAACAUGUCGUGUGGAAAGUUGAAGUUAAAGAGUCGCUAAAAAAAGAAAGGGUCGUUCUUUUUUAAACAGACUAAAAAAAAAAAAGUAGGUUAAACAUAUUAAAACGGAGGAAGUAAUUGAAAGUCUGAACCUACUAAAAAGAAAAGUAGGUCAUGAGUCGGUAUCAUAUUAAUUAGAUCAUUGAAAUAUCUCAUGAUUUACGGAAGAAAGUCCUCAUUUGCUGCUACCAAUUUCACCACUUUGUCAAACAUCAUUUAAUUGGCAAAGAAAAGUCAAAUAAGACAUUUGCAAGUUAGAUAUUAUUCUUGUCAUUGAUUUCACUCAUGAAAUUAUUCGUGUUAGAAAGCAGAAUGAGGUAUACCAUAUAGACUGUAUAAAAAAAUAGUCUGAUAAAAAAAAUAGAGCGUUAGCGAUCAUCUCUUAUCGGAAAAGGUCGGAAUCUAAGUCAAUGAUGAAGCAGAAGGAUCCUAACUCAUUAGCUCUUAAGCUAGCCAAGUCUCUUGGCUCUGAUCAGCUAGCUGCUGCACUUCAUCCUGACAACAAUUGGCCUAAAUUAUUACUCCCUCCGUCCCAUUUUAUGUGGCAACAUUUGACCGGGCACGGAGUUUAAUAAAUAGAUAAAGACUUUGAAAUGUUUAUCAAAUUGCCCUUCAAAAAAAUAGAUAUAUUUUUCUCUCUCCUAAUAAAUGUAUUGGAGUACUCUUUUCAAGAUUAAGUGGGACCAACAAGGGUAAAAGAGAAAUUAUACCUUUAAAUACUUACCAAAUAAGGAAAUGUGACAUUCUUUUUGAGACUGACCAAAAAGGAAAUGUUGCCACAUAAAAUGGGACGGAGGGAGUACCAAUCUUUUAUAGGUGUUUCAGUACUCACUACAAGAAAAUGUACAUACGACAUUAAUUUAGUGACAUUUGAAAUAAAUGUUGGAAAAUAAAGAAUUUUACGAUAUUUAGGAACAAAAUGUCAUAAAACAAUGACAUUUGAUGUCAAAUGUCGUAAAAAUAAUGACAUUUGGUAUCAAAUAUCAUAAAAAUAAUAACAUUUGGUCCAAAAUGUACUAUGAUAAUGACAUUUAUUGCAAAAUAUCGUUGUUUUUAGCGACAUUUAGCAAAAAUGUCAUUUAAAUGAUGACAUUUGCUACAAAUGUCGAAUAUAAUAUGACAUUUAUUACAAAAUGUCAUUGGUUUUAGUGACAUUUAGAAAAAAUAUCGCUUAAAUAGUGACAUUUAAUAUAAAUGUCGAAUAUAUUAUGACAUUUACUGCAAAAGGUCAUUGAUUUUUAGUGACAUUUAGAAAAAAUGUCACUAAAAUAGUGACAUUUGUUGUAAAAUGUCAUUGAUUUUAGCGACUUUUAGCAAAAGUGUUGCUAAAGAAGCGACAUUUAAUACAAAUGUUGAAUAUAUUACACUAGUAGAAUUUCGUUUGCAAAAUUGUUGCUAAAAUAGUGACAUUUCAUACAAUUAUCGAAUAUAUUAUGACAUUUAUUGCAAAAUGUCAUUGAUUCGAUCGACAUAUAGUGAAAAUUUCGCUAAAACAGUGACAUUUUUAUACAAAUAUCGAAUAUAUUAUGUCAUAUGUUGAAAAAUGUCAUUGAUUUUUAUGACAUAUGAUGAAAAGUACUGUUAAACGACUACAACAUUUUAUGUCUACAACCACCCUAGAAAAGUGUAGCCUUUGAUAAAAGGCCACACUUUUUGACUUUAAGCCACGCUUUUCCAGGGGUGGCCGAAAGAAGCAUAACCUUAGAGUUUAGGCGACACUUUUCAAGUGUUGCCUUAACAGCUACGCUUAAAAGCAUAGCCUAAAAGGCAGAAAGGCCACGCUUUGCAGUACCUCAUAUAGCUUAACAUUUCUAUCUCAUACAACUACACUUUCAAGGGUGGCCUUUGCUUCCUUAUUGCCCACGAUUUUAAAGUGUUGCCUUUUCUAUCUUAUGUAUGACAACACUUUGAAGUGUAGUCCUUGCUCAUGUGCAUACCACAAUUUACAGUUAUUUGGCUGCACUUUUAAGUAUGGUAAUAUUAUUUUUACUAUAAAAUAUUUAUAUGCCACAAUUUCUAAUUAAAAAACAUCAAUAUUAUUUUGCAAUAAAUAAUCUCAAACACUAAAUUAGCUAAUAAGUAAUUCAAAUAUAUAGAUUUGUAAUAAACUUCAAAAGAUAGUAUGUCUUGUGUACAUACACAUACUUGUUUGACAGAGAAUUUAAACUAGUUUGUUGAAUUAAUCCAACACAUUGACACUGAAGCAAUAGUCCAUUACAUUGAUAUAUUACACCCUAUAUUCCUAAACACGUUGAAUGGUUCCCUGUAUCUAGACGUGAAAAUAUCCAUUAUGAUGUAUUCAAAUUGUCUCAUUGAACUAACUACAUAUCUGAAGCUGUCUCACUGCCAGCAAAAUGUGUACCUUGUACUCUUUGCUUCAAGUAGUAUGAACCAUGUCUAUUUGACCCUAUAAGUAAUAUGAACUAUGUCUAUUUGUAUAAUUUUCACUCGAACCCUAAAGUACUUAGGUCCAAUAAACACAUUCAUCCUAUGUGGUGUCCUGUAUGAUAAUUUUGUGUCCUAUGUGACGUCCUACAUGUAUUAUGUUGUAGGACGUAUGAGUCAACUUGUUCAAUUUUAUACAAGUUGAAGUGUCUAUUUGUGCAUGCCAAAAAUUGAAGGACAUAUAUGUCAGAUGAAUUCAAAUUUAAAAACAUAUUUAUGUAUUAUGUCAAAUAUUAAUCUAAAGACAUCACAAAUAUGGCCGUGUAAGAUGGUAAUCGAUCCGUUAUACCAACACCAAAUGAACAGAAGGACAAAUUUAGAUGUGCAUGAAAUACUUUUAAUUAAUGGUGAAAGAUAUAUACAAGUGAGUAAGCAUACAUGUGAUCUACACUCUAACCAAAAAGAGCAAUUAUUUUUUGUUGUUGUCAAAAUUAAUCCUCCAAUAAUUCCUUUCAUCUUCAAAAAUUACUUUCACUUUGCAAUUUUUUUCUUGUCUUCAAAGCAUACUGCUUAAAAAUAUAGAGAGAAGAGCUAGUAUUGAUCACUUUGCUAUAGUCUGUCUAUAGUUUCUUUCAAUUGAGUACUAAACAAUGACUAAAUGUUCUUCUCUUCAUUUUUAAUUGCACUUAAUAGGUACUAUUUCCUAAUUAUUUGGCCACAUUUCCUUUUUUAAUUAUCCCUAAUUAUUUGUUCAUUUUGAUAAAUCAAGAAAUGACAAUUUUUUACCUAUUAUACCCUCAAUUAAUUACAUUGAAAAAUGUAGAACUUUUUGAAAAUCUUAAGUUUUUAUUCAUCAACUUCAUAAUUAAUAAGGGUAAAAUGGUAAACUCACUAUAUCAAUUAUUGUUUUCGUAAUAGACGUGUCAAUUCAAAAGUGGACAAGUAAUUAGGAACAUAGUACUCCUUCCGUCCGAAUUUAGUUGUCCAUAUUUCUUCUUUUAGUUGUCCCUAUUUAGUUGUCCAUUUUGACAAAUCAAAAAAGGAUAACAAAUUUUUUCCUAUUAUACCCUUAUUUAAAUGAAGUUGUCAUAAAUAAAGUAAAUAAACUUAUGAACUUCCCAACAUUGAUUAGUUAUCUUGAGUGAAUUUAUUUUGAAAUUGUAAAUUGUACUAUAAGGGUAAAAUUGUAACUUCACUAUGCUAAUCAUUGUUGCCUUAAUCUGUGUGUCAUUUCUAAAGUGGACAACUAAAUAGGGACGAGUAAUAAACGAUGACCAAGAAAGAAUAAUUAAUUAUUUUUCUUGUUUUUUCCUCUAAUGGAGGACAGAUGGAAGAUUAAUAAAAUAUUAUUUAUCUUCUUAAAGUUUAGAGGCCCACUUAAUAAUUGCUACAAAACAAAGAUGCUAAUCAGCUAAAGGAUAUAUUGUAGAAUAAUAAUUUAUACUCCCUUUGUUCGCUUUUAUUUGUCCUAAUUUUACUUGACACACCCAUUAAAAAAAUAAUUAUUAAUAUAGGUAUUUUAUUAAAUUGUCCCUAUUAAACGAUGUUUAGUAUUAAGUAUUGGAAAGUGACUUGGAAAUAGAGUAUUUAAUAUUGAGGGUAAAAUAUGGAAAAAUAUAAUUGUCUUUUUAUGAUAUGUCAAAAGUAACAAAUAAAAUGAAAAUUUAUUUUAGGAAUAAGUGAAAGUGAACGAGAGUAUUAAUUUUAUCUACCCGAGUUAAGAGGUUCAAAUCAAUGAUUUCUUUAUCUUGUCUUUUUAGCAUUGCAAUUAGGGGUGUAUAAAAUCGAACCGAAAAUCGAAUCAAGCCGUAAAUCAAAAAAAAAACCUGACUAGUGGUUUGGUUUGACUUGGUUUGGUAUUGGAAAAAAAAAUCCGACUAUAUUUGGGUUGGGUUGGGUUGGUUUUAACUUAAAAAAAACCAACCCGAGACCAAACCAACCCGACAUUAUAUAUGUAAUUUUAAAAUUUUAUUUUAUACAUAAAAAUAUUUACUUUGAUAUAAUUUUAAAAUAUUUCUUAUACUAUUUCAUAGUUUUUAUCUUUUAAUAUAUUAUUUCAAGUUUAAAACUUAGAAUUCGGAAUGGUCCAAUAAAGAUUAUAGUUCAUAGAUGUUGAUAAUUAUAAUUAAAUUUAAAUCAAAAUCAAAUUAAUACUAAUGCAAAAAGAAAAUCAAUUCAACACUAAGAAUGACAAUAAUAUUGAAUAUUUGUUCUUUAGUUUUACAUUGGUUUAGACAAUUAAAAUACAUAAUCUAAUUUUAAUUUUCCUUAAAUAUUUAGUAAUGUAACUAAUACUUAUUAAACUUAUUUUAGCAUGAUUUAGUACUUUUAAAUUAUGAUCAUUUUCAUUAUGACUUUGCAAUAUUUAUUUUAUAUAAUGAUUUCAUUAUUAUUUAUUAUUGAAUAUUUUUGUUCACCAGUACUCAUCUCAUAUUUUGUGUUAUUUUUUUUUUAAGAAAUACCUUAGAUAAUUGUAUUUUGGUUGGACUAAAGAAAUAUUUGGAGCACAAGUUAAUUAUGAAAUAUGUCUAUUUGUAUAACAGAUGAAUGAAGAAUAUAAAAUGAUGCAACUUCAUUGUUUCAUUAUGGCCACUGGUAAUGGCUAAGAAAUGAUUUUUUCCCCCUUUGUUUCAAUUUGUUUGACCUACUUUGACUUGACAUGAAAUUUAAGAAAAUAAAAAAGAUUUUUAAAUCUUGUGGUCUUAAACAUGUCGUGUGAAAAGUUGAAGUUAAAGAGUUGCUAAAAAAAGAUAGGGUCAUUCUUUUUUAAACAGAUUAAAAAGAAAAGUAAGUCAAAUAAAUUAAACGGAGGAAGUAAUUGAAAGUCUAAACCUACUAAAAAGAAAAUUAGGUCAAGAGUCGGUGUCAUACUAAUUAGAUCAUUGAAAUAUCUCAUGAUUUACAGAAGAAAGUCCUCAUUUGCUGCUACCAAUUUCACCACUUUGUCAAACAUCAUUUAAUUGGCAAAGAAAAGUCAAAUAAGACAAAGUUAAACAUUAUUCUUGUCAUUGAUUUCACUCAUGAUAUUAUUCGUAUUAGAAAGCAGAAUGAUGUAUAUCAUAGGCUGUAUAAAAAAUAGUUUGGUAAGAAAAAUAGAUUUUUAGCGAUCAUCUGUUAUCGGAACUAGCAAUAUGGAUCCUAACUCAUUAGCUCUUAAGCUAGCCAACUUGUAUAGGUGUUUCAGUACUAAUUCCCAUUUGACAGAGAAUUUAAACUUGUUUGUUGAAUUAAUCCAACAUAUUGACGCUGAAGCAAUAGUCCAUUACAUUGAUAUAUUACACCCUAUGUUCCUAAACACGUUGAAUGAUUCCCUGGCUAAUCUAGACGUGAAGAUCACUGCCCUGACGGCGAUGAGUAACUUCAUUCAACAGGUGGGGAGUUCAAAAGAUAGGGAGAGGUUUCAGGAUCUGUUGCCUGCGAUGAUGGACAUGCUGAAUAAGGCAUUGGAAGAAAAUUGUGAGGCAUCAGCUCAGUCUGAGUUGGAGAUUUUGAUUGAGUUGGCCAAGAAUGAGCCUAGCUUCUUCAGGAUGCAGCUUGUGGUUGUGGUGGGUUCCAUGUUUGAUAUAGCUGAAUGCGAGAGUUAUGAAAAGAAAACGAGACGUUUGGCGGUUGAAUUCGUGAUGACAUUGGUUGAGGCCAGGGAGAAGACCCCUGGCAUGAUCAAGAAGUAUCCAUUGUUUACUGAAAAAUAUUUUGCAAUUUUAUUGAAUUUGUUAGAGGAUGAGGUUUAUGACCCUCUCUUGCCUGAUCCUUAUGAUAAAUGGGAUAACAAUUAUGAUUUCCUUUUUCUUAAGAUGUGUUUAAGGCGGUUGUCCAAUGCGCUGGGUGGUAAGACUGUUGUUCCUGUUGCCUUUGAGCAGCUCCGUGCUCACUUGGCUGACGACUCGUGGCAGAAGCCAUGCGCAGCACUCUAUGCACUUGCUCAGAUUGUUGAAGGCUGCUCAGAGGUGUGUAUUUAUUGAUACACUACUAAGAAUUGCAUUUAAACUGAUUAGUUAACGAUCUUGGGAUAGCAGAAGGUCACCUUGAUUAUACUUUCUUCUGUUAUUCUCUAGACUAAGUACUUUGCUUGCUCUCAUCUCUUCUUCAUUAUAAUAGGUGAUGAUUAAGAAUAUGAAUCUAGUGGUGACAAUGGUUCUGGAUUGUAUGGGACAUCCUCAUCCUGGAGUUAGAUUCGCCUCCAUGGAAGCAAUUCGCGAGUUUUUGAGUUUCAUGCGUCCCCAUUUUCAAGAACAAUGUCAUCACCAAGUAGUGCCGGCAUUAAUUAAAGCUAUGGAUGAUGAGAGUGUACAAGUGCAGGUCUGUAUGUCCUACGAUGAUAUGAACUCCUUUGGAUGCUAGUAUCAUAUGUCCCAAAUUACAGUUGCGAAAUUUUCUUACUGAACCUUCUCAAUGGGCUUAACUUUAACUUUAUUAGAUUUAAUCCCUGCUCUAACUUUACUAUCUUCAUAUUUUCCUAGGUCAGUGUCAUACGCACGGUCUGGCACUUCCUUCACGUUCGCACGCCUGAAUAUUUGACACUUUACAUCCAUGGAUUACACAAUAAAUUGCUUCAACUGUCGUCACAUACUGUUGCGGUGGUACGUAUUGUAGACUAAGUGCAAGAGAAAUCAGAUCAUUUUCUUGAACAAUGAACAGACAAUAUUACGAAUACAUUAAGGGAAACAACCAUAAUUUCCAAGUUCCCAAUAUAAUUAUCCCGCCCUCCUUUAUAAAUUCAAAGUUUGUUACUCCCUUGAAUGUCCUUGAGGUCUCUACUUGCCUGAUUUAUUUUUGUUUUUGACAUGAAAGGUCCAAAAAUCAGCGUCAACUGUACUCAAUUGUUUGGGUGAGCAUUUUGAGGUAUUACCUAGUAAUUCUGCUUCAACUUUUAUUAAGAGUAUGUUGUAUUAAGCUGGUUUUAUAUUUCUAUUAAUAUUAACAUUACUUCAACAGGAGUUCUAUGGGAACAACUACGAAUCUAAUAAACCACUUUUGAAAGCUUCACUGGUAGAAGCAAAUUUUCCAAGUAAAGAUGUAGAGAUGAUCAUGUCAGUGUACGAACCUGGCAGUUCGGUACUUCCAAAACAGGUCUUCCACCAGUUAUACCAAAUGGAUUCUAUACAUCUCACUGAACUUAGAGCUUAUUGUUUAUUCGUUUUCUAUUUUUCUGUUGUUGACAUAAUGUCACUAUAAGAUUAUGGAAGCAGUUAUGUCAUUACAAGGAUCACAAGAGGAUGAUGAGGAUACAAAUACCAUCUACAAGCUAAUGGUAUGUGUUGUUGAGAAUAUCGUUAACUAAUAAAAUGGUGUUCUCUCUAAUAGCUUAAGCUUUUAGAUGAGAUGGUCACACACUUCAACAUGUUAUCAGAACAGGCAGAGGCCCUGGGAUCAAAUCUCUUCGCCACCCAAAUUAAAAAGAAUUUCCACGUGCUAAUCAGUCAGAAAUUCUUUCAAGAUUGGUCUUUCUAUAUUUCUUGAUCUCAUUCCAGGUUGUCACACUUGGACUUCUCUCUUUUUCUUUCUUUCUACCCGUGAUUUUGAUCGCGAACUGAAAAUUUAACAAGUGGUUUCAAUGGCCUAAUGCUUGAUAAAUGAUACAGACUGCUUCAAUUUUAUUUCCACUUUUGAAAUUCCAUUUCAAAGGGGUCAGGUUCCAUACAGUUUGAAGGUGAGAUUUCUCAGGAUUUCACAUAGUUAAUUUCUACCGUCUUUUAUAACUAUCUGAUCAACUCCAAGACUUUUUAAUUUGUAAUGUUUAUAGCGAUGAAGCACAUUUUGCAAUCUGCUAAACUGGCUGAUGAGAAAGGGAUUGCUCCAGGUGAAAGCCAUUCGGAUUUCAAGCAGUUUUCAGACAGUAUAAUACUGAAUUUGGUGGAAGCUUUGCAUGAGGUUUACUUUUAACAUUAAGCUUCUUCUUUUUGGAUAAUGAGAAAGUAACACUUUGAUUUCUAUAUAAUGCAGGAGCUUGAAACAGAGAUAUAUGUACAUAUGUUGAAUACAUUACGACUGUGCCUUCAGGUUCGUGAUCUUUAAACACUGCUUAUUUGUUUUUGAUCCAAAGUUUUCAGUGUUUCACUAUGAGCUAGGUAUGAAGUUUUUUGGAACUGUUGCCUUUAAGUCUGUUGCUUAAAAUGUUCCAUUAGUAUCAUCAAAGUGAGAAAAUAGCAAUGGUGACAAGUCGAGUUAGAAUGGCAAAACAGGAUUUUUCAGGUUGUAUAUGGUCCUUGUGUUUCUUCUUUCAGAUAUGUGGUCCACUUCUCAAUAAAGACCAGCUUCGUCCGGUCGUGGAUGAGAUAAAGCAUGUCAUUACAGAAAAUUUAAAUAGCCAAGGAAAACUCAGAGAGAGAGAAAAAACAGAAGACUUUGAUGCUGAGGAAGCUGAAUUGCUGAGAGGGGAAAAACAGCGACAAGAUCAAAUAAUUUUCCUUGUAUGUUCUAUUUUAAAACAGGAACUAAAGUGAUACACUGUUGUCUAUAUAUUCAAGCAUUUUCGCUUUGUUUAUGCUGUUAUUCUUGAACAGGCUGGUCACAUAUUACGUAGACUUAUCGAAUCAUUCAAGGUUGUUUUCUUGCCUUACUUUGACGAGCUAUCAUUAUAUCUGAUUCCGAUGUGGGUAAGUUCAUUGACAUUAUUCUGACAUGACGUUAGUUUAUUUACUAUUAUUCAUAUCUAGGAUAUCUUACUGUUUCCGAUUUUGUUAAGGGAAAAGAAAUGACAAUUCAAGAGAAAUCUACAUCACUUUAUAUCUUUGAUAGUCUUGUGAAGGAGUGCUCUGAAGCAGCUCUAAAGUGAGUUUAAUUUGUCUGUAUGAGUUUCUGGUGUAUCACCAUUUUUAUAAAUUACUUACUUCUUAUGCCAACUUAGGUACUGUGAUGUAUUUCUACCUUUGCUUCUGAAAGCAAGCAAUGACGACAACCCGACAGUUAGACAGGUUUGGAUCAUAGUGAUUGUUUACAUUCCUGUUACUCAAGUUGGUUGCUCACAAUGACUUUAUGUUCAGAAAGCUUUAUAUGGACUUGGGCUUUAUGCAGAAUAUGAUGGUUCUGUUUUCCAACCUUAUGUUAGAGGUAUUAAUAUUGUUGAAUGUGAUACCUUCUAAUCAAGCAAGUGUUUUUGUUAACUUACGCGUUUAUGUUCAGAGGCUAUGUCACGGAUCAAUGUAGUGAUAAUGCAUUUACGUGCUCGUGAACCUGAGAAUGAACUUGCAUAUGAUAAUGCUGUUUCUACCCUUGGUAAAAUAUUUCAGUUUCAUCGAGAACUUAUCGACUCAGCCCAGGUUUGUCCUUCUCAGAAUCCCUAAUGUUAAGUCUUGUUAUAAUUUCUGAUUCUGAAUCCUUGUGUAGGUCAUUCCCAUUUGGUUGAAUUGCCUGCCUAUAAAAGGUGACCUUGCUGAAGCCAAAUAUGUUCAUGGUCAACUAUGUUCCAUGGUUGAAAGGUAUUGGAUUUGUUUGGAAACUCUAAUAUGUUAUAACUUUCAUAAAAUGCAGGAUUAUUUUAUCCAACGUUUUGUUGGAAAUAUUAUAUUAUCAUAAGACUAUUUAUUCCACCAUUUAUACCUUAAAAUGUGAUAAGUUAUUUCAUCCCGAAAUAGUUGAUGUCAGGAUAACUUAUUCCGAACCAAACCAUCCCUUAAUGAUUUAUCAAAUUUUCUCAAUUGCAGGUCAGAUAGAGAACUUUUGGGUACCAAUUAUGAACACUUCCCAAAAAUUAUGUCAGUUUUUGCAGAGGUUAGUUCCAUAUCAGAAUCUAUAGAUGCCAGUUUGAGUUGUUUAUUUGCUCAUGUUACAUAUUAAAUGAGAUAAAUAUUGAAAACAUAAUUAUUAAUUUCAUAAUCAAACUAUUAACAAUCUUAAAAACACUCAUUUCUUUGACUAACUAAACUUAAAUACACUCCCGAUCUUGCAACAUGACCAAAAUACAUCCCUAAUUUAAGGGUGCUUUCAACACUCCUCUAUGUAAUGUGGCAGAUCAGAGAUGUAUUUAAGUUUAAUCUGGUCAAGUAGAUAUGUGUUUUUAAGACUAUCAAUAAUUCAAGAACGAAACGAACAAUUUGUGUCAAGUUUAAGAGUGUUUUUGAAUCAAACUAAAGACAUUUUUUAUUCCAUUUUUAAGGUUAUAUGUGGUGGAAAACAUCUUGCUACAGAAGAAACAACAAAGUGUAUGAUUAAUCUGUUGAGGAAUCUUCUUAAAGAACUACCACCAGACACUUUGACAUCAGCAUGGUCAUUGAUAUUGCCUCAGCAAGAAAUGGAACUAAAAGCCAUUUUAUUUCCUGGAAUACUUCAUGUGGUACGUUUUCACAACAAAACAUUUUGUAUGCUUGACACUGAUACCAAUGAAAGCUCUCCCCCUUACUCUUUACCAUCCAAAAUUGUCAAACUUCUUGAGGAAGAACACCAGAAAAAUAGUAUUAUUGUUCCACAAAUGUAACUUAUAAACCAUAAAUUGUAUCUUUAAUUAAGUUUUGUAUCAUUUAAGUAUACAAGAUGAUACUAUAGUUGAUUUGUGGGGAAUUGAAUAUGUAAUUAUCAUUAAACUAUCUAUUUUAUAUCUUUUUUACGAUUUAUCUAUCCAUUUGGAAUUUCUUUAUUUUUAAUUUUUCAUAAGUUGAAAUUCAUAUUGUGGCAUAUAAUUUAAAUAAUUAUUUAUUCAAAUUAAACAAGUCAAACCUUAAGGACCUAAAAUCUAAACCUGACGGCAUAAACCAUAAACCUUGAGGGGUCGUUUGGUGUGAAAGAUAACUUUAAAUAGUCCUGCGAUUAAAUUAUAAUGUCACUAAAUUUGUUGUUUGAUUGGCAAUUUGGUGAUAAGUUAUCUCGUGAUUAAUAAUUAAUACAAGGAUAAAUUAUCCCUUCCCUUGGGUGGUACAAUAAUCCCGAGAAAACUUAUCACGAGAUAAAAUGACUAAAUGACAAAAAUAUCCCUUCAAACACUUUUUAUACAUUACUUUUCAUAUUCAUGAACGGUAUUUUUCUAAGCAUCAUAACUUGAAUUCAAACCAAACGACUGCACCUUAGAGCCCAAAAAAUAAACUCAAAAUCAUAAACUCUAAACCUUAAACCUUAGGCCUCAACCUUAAAAUCUAAACCAUAAACCCAAAACUCAAAAGCUUGGGGCCUAAAACCUAAGAUCUACGAUUUAUGGUUUAGGAUUUAGGAUUUAGACUCUAAAAUUUAUAUUCUAGGGGUUGUAGUUUAUCGUUUUGACUAUAAGAUUUAGGAUUUAAGAUUUAUAAUUUUAAGAGUUUAGGCCUUAUGGUUAAGUGUUUAGAGAUAAGAUUUAUAAUUCAUGUAUAAAUUAAAAUAUAGGGUUUAGGCCCAAGGUUCAUAUGGUUUUAUGAUUUAUCAAAAGCCAAUUUGAGGUCAAUUUUUAAGCACAAUUGAACCAAACCCAUUUGAACCCAAAAUAAAUUUGAACGGAUUGAUCAACUUCGUGUAUUUUUUUCUACACUUUUGACUCUUCAUCACCUUUCUACAAUUACAAUUGUUUCACAAAUCCUUUUUUUAAAAUCUUUCAAACAUAAUUAUAAAAAAUAUCUUAGUAAAUCCAUUCUAUUUCCUAAUCCCUUUCAUAAAACAAAUAAUCAAAAUAGCCUCAGAAGGAAGGCAGUAGUAUAGUCAUAAUCAUUAUUUUGACCAUUAACGCAAAACUACUCAUCAUCGGACAAAAAAAUAAUAAAUUAAAAGAAACAAAAAACAAUUAUUAUUGUAAUGCUUGAAAGUUUUGCAAUUUUCCUAAUUCAAAAUUAUUGACUAUCGAUUUUGAUAAUGUAUUUCCCAAAAUUGUUGUGUGAAAUACACGAGUAAAAUACAUCUGAACUCAAAAUUCAAAAUACAUUUCAAAACUCAAAAUUAAGAGUCAAAUUUGUGCAUAAAAUUUAGGACUUGAAAUCUAAACUCAAAAUUUGAAACCAUAUACCUUAGGGCAUAGAUCCUAAACCUUAAGAGCCUAAACUUUAAACAUUAUGUCCAAAAUUAUGAACCCUAAAUCUUGAACCUUAAAUCCCAAGUCAUAAACCCUAAAAUCUUAGAACUUAAACCCAAAACUCUAAACCUUAAAGCCUAAACCUUAAACCUUAAACCUUAAACCUUGAAAGCCUAAAUCUUAAUGUUUAGGAUUUAUGAUUUAUGGUUUUUGAUUUUAAAAUUUAAGAUUUAGAGUUCAGACAAUAUGGUUAAGAGUUUUAAGUUUUAUGAUAUAAGAUUUAGGCCUUAAAAUUUGAAGUUUAGAUUUUAACAAUUAGGCUCUAAAAACUUUAAGAUUAAAAAUACAGCAUUUGAACAUUAUAAUAAAUAAUUAUGUAGUACCCCAACGACCAAAUACACCACAAAAAUUAGAUGCAAAGGAUAGCGAGGGGAACAUUAUUAUAGCUUCACUUGCUAAAGUAUCACACUACAAAAAGUGAAAUCCACAAAAUAUAAUUAGCAAAAGCAUAGUACAAUUAACAACAUAUCCAAUAAAAUCACAGUAAAUUUAUGCAAAUCUUAUCAUUAUCUCGUAAAAAUAAAAAUAAAAUAUGAAAACUACUUAGUCCCUUAGAUGUUCAAUUAAUUGCGAUCAUCUUCGCAAAUCAUUACAGGUCUGUAACUGUAAAAAAUUAAUCAUCACUGUUGUUUCCAUUGAAUAAAAUAUAUAAAAAAAAUUUUGAUGAACAAACUCAGUCCCUUAGAUGUUCAAUUUGUUGCGAUCAUUUUCGCAUAUCAUUACAGGUCUGUAACUGUAAAAUAUUACUCAUCAUUGUUUAUUCAUCAAAAAAAUAUUCUGAAUUUUUUUUUUUUUAAAAAAAAGUUGUAGCUGCUCCAAUUGUUCUCCACAGAUUAAAUUAAAUGAGGAGAAAGAUGAAAAAGGAACAACACACUUAUAAUGCUUCAAGGGAACGAGUUGGUCAAAAAUAAAUUAUUUCUUGCCAACCAGAUUAAAGAAGCAUAUAACUCAAAAUAUAUACACAAAAAUAAUAAAUUUAUUUAGAGUUUAGAAGAUAUAUCACCAUUGUUGAAGAUUUCAAUCGGCAGCUGCAGAAGAGAGAAAUUGUUGUGUUUUGAAGUACACGCAAAACUCAAAAACAAGAAAAUUAUCCAUCUAGCUGGAUAUGAUUAUUAUGCAUAAUGAAUAAAGGAAACAGCUUAAGAGAAAAACUGGUCCGUUAGAUCUCCUCUUUCAAUCGCAAUCUUCUAUUUCUGCACAGCAAAGAAACACUUCUCAAAUAUAUUUUACGAAAGAUUUAACAGGUAAAAGUGUACAAGCUCAAAAUAUGAUGCAAUUAAUCUUGAGUCAGUUACCUGUUAAACCAGUGUUGCCGCUUUUUAUAUGCAAGGGGUAAAUAAGGACCUUGGGCUCUGCAUUUCCAUAUCCUUCUUGCACUUCUUUAAAGUCCUUAACUGAUUUUUCAAGAGACUCACCACAUCGUUUUACUUCAACCAUCUUUAGAUAAUGCAUAUGUCCAACCAUGGAAGGAAUUUCUCGAAGAUUAAAGCAGUUUUCUAUAAGAAUGUGUUCGAGGUUGGGAAAGGACUCAUCUGAUGCAUUCCAUGUUGUUAUUGUAAGGGAUCUUAAUUUAAGAACCUUGAGGUUCAGAAACUCUUCAUCUUCGAUCUCCCAUUUGUCCUGCUGAAAUACUCUAUGUUCCAACUUCAGAACCACUAAAUUUGGUAAUCUUCCGAUAUUAGACAGUUCACUUUGUGGCAACAAAACAUCUGAUAGAGUUAGCUUUGUUAGUGUCGCGGGCAAGGUGAAAUUCAAAAUCAUACCGUUUACACUGAGUGUUUCAAGUUGAAGAGCAUUUAAUUUGAGUUUGAGAGGCUCUUUACAGUGGCAUUUGAGUUUUCGCAGUCUGCUUUCUGUUUUAUUUAAGAAAUACUCCCUCCGUCCCAUUUUAUAUGAUGUACUUUGAUACCGUUUACACUGAGUGUUUCAAGUUGAAGAGCAUUUAAUUUGAGUUUGAGAGGCUCUUUACAGUGGCAUUUGAGUUUUCGCAGUCUGCUUUUCUGUUUUAUUUAAGAAAUACUCCCUCCGUCCCAUUUUAUAUGAUGUACUUUGAUUUGGCACAAACUUUAAGAAAAAUGGAAAGACUUUUAAAACUUGUGGUCCAAAAUGAAUGAUAGAAAUUUGUGUGGUUGUAAAUCAUUUCAUUAAGGGUAAAAAAGACAUUUUAUAGGCAAAUUGUUACUUAAAAUAGAAAUGUGUCAUUCUUUUUGGGACUGACUAAAAAGGAAAGUAAGUCAUAUAAAUUGGGACAGAGGGAGUAUUAUUUAAGACUGGUUUAAGAGUCGCCACUUAAUUUUUAAGAAAAAUCAAGAAAAACUGAUUUUCAAUAGAUUAAAACAGUGAAUCAAUUGAAAAUACUAAAGGGGGUUCGGGGGUUCUUAUAAAUAUUCUAGGAAGGUUUUUAAGGCACCUAGAAUAUCCACUAAUGUGGUUAUCCGACGAUUAACUACUUGGCUAAAAUAAUUGAACUUAAUUUGAUUUGAGCAAUUUUUAUUGUUAGAACCAUAUUAAAGGGAAAUACUUAAAUAUUAUCUAAGUGAGCUAAUUUUUAAAACUUAUUCUUUAAGUCUUGUUGAGUGAUGACUGAUUCAGUUAAAUUGUUAAAUCAAAAUAGGCGUCUUUCGGGGAUUUGAAUUUUUCAACCUUAAGGUUAGCGACAAAUAUUAACAAGCACACAAAUAUAAUAAAAUAAAGAGGGAAAGAGAUUUGGGCCCAAGUUUGGUUUUACUGUCCGCCUGGACCAAUACUUGGGCCCACUUUCGUUUUGGGGUUUUCGGCCCAUUUAAAUAAUCGGUACCUGUCCUAGUCUAACAAGAUAAUAACAAGGGCUUAGGCCCCCAAAAUAACAAAAAUACAAUUCCCGAAACUAAGAGUGGGCCUUUGGGUCCAUUUUCCUUCUUUCGUAUACACUAGAUGUCUACUAGUGUACACAAUCCCAUAUGUCUGCUUCGAAGACCUGUACGCUGAAUUCAUGGAAUUGCUCUUCAAUUCUAUUGGCUGGCCGACUCAAUGAAGGAUUUGAGCAUUUAUGGCUCUCUCGAAGUGAGGGGGAAGGAGAUAGGAGUUCAUAGUGAACUCGGACAUAUUUCACAAGCAAAACGAUAAAUAAGUAACAAAAUUAGCAUCUUCGGGAAGGAAAUGAAGUGAUAAGAUAAAAUAAAUAGAUAAGUAAAAUAACAUGCCAGUCAAUCAUUAACAACACAACGCCUAAACAAUAAUUUAAAAGGAAGACUGAUGAAGACUUGUUCAUUUUUACGUAUCAUGAAUGAGGAGCAGUGAUCAAGUACCAAGCAUUAGAACAAAGGUCAUAUGAGAUGUAAACUAAUAAGCUCUUAAUAAAGAUUAUUACUUAUUACAAGAUUAAAAUAACUACUAUGCAGGUUCAAAACAGAGAAGAAAGAAAUUUUAAUUAUAUAUAUAAUAUAAAAGAGAUAGUGAGCAAAUGUGGCAUCUACUAAAUGUGACUAUUGAAUGUUUAUCUCAAAGCACAAGAAUUGUUAGCUAAGCAAGCCUACAAUCAGUAGUUUAAGUAAAAGGAAAGAAACAUUCAAGUCACCUUUUGAACUUUUAAAAACAAUAUUAUAAACAAGUUAAGGUAGGUAGGAUUUAGUCAAAAUAUUAUUUUUUACAUAAGUGAGCUUUCUAAACAAAUAUAACAAUAAAAAAAAAAUUAGUCAAUGACUCAAAUUUUGCACAAGGGUAUAGCCUAAUACCGACAUUAUUUGGACAACUUUCUUAUUACUGAUUCUAACAUUUACGACACCGAAUUAAGCUAUGUAGAGAAGAAAAAAGGCCGGUGAUCACCAAAGCAAGUAAAAAUAUAUAGCAUCCUUAGCAACUGUUGAGACAUGCUGAAAUUAAAGAAGAAUAAAAGCCAAAAGUAUGGAUGUACAUUCACAGUUUUAUGUAUUCCCAAACUUAUCGAAAUUUGUUAAAAAUAUACAUGAGGCUCACGGAGAUAUCAAAUAGCAAAGUGGGCUGAUCCAUUUAUCCUAAAUGAGUAAACAUACAAAAUGAAUGAACAAAUACGGACUAUGACAUAUUUUACGCAUCCCGUAACCAAGAAAAAGUAGCACGAACUUACUUAAGGCAUGUCAAACUAAUCAAGAUCAAAAUUGUAUACCAUUUGGAACCAAACAACAAAAACAAUUCCCAUAAUUCUGGAAAAAUAAAAAAAAACACAUUCAAACUAGACCUGGACAACAUCUAAAUAAUUAGAGACAAAAUCAGAUAAACAAAAAUGAAAGAAUUAAUCAUACCACAAGACAACCAUAACAAAGUUUAAGCUAUACUAAUCCGGACAAGACUAUUGAUCUAAACUCAAAAAUAAGUGCAGGAAGAGCUAGAUCCUACAAGACUGGUCUAAUGUAAUUUAUGAGGGUCUAUAACAGUGAAUAAAAAAUAAAGAGAAGACAACCAAGACCACAAAUGACCAAUAGAGAAGCAGAACGAGUCAAAAAUUAAGCUACAAAGGGAAUAAUUUAAAGACUCAUAUUUAAACUAACACAUGCUUCCAUACAUGAGUAAUUUAAUCAAAAUAAGUUAGAACAAAAUGAAACCAAAGAAACUCCGCAGCAACAAGUUUAUCACACAACAUUUAAAACAUAAACAAAGCGCGGAAGAGGGAAGAGAUAUUACCUUUUCCGGGCAGCGAAACUGAGACAAGAACGAGCUUGGAGCGACUUCAACACAACCUUGAACUCGAGCACCAGACCAAAGAAAAGAUCGAGUCGACCUCGAACGAGAACUUCUCGUAUCCUUAAGACUAGGGAACCGUCUAAGACUUCUCAAGUGUAAAUUUAUUCCAAGAAAUCCAACCCCCAAAUCCCUUCCUUUUUUUUUUUUUUUAACAUAUGAAAAAAGAGCCACCUUUAUAGGUAAAAACUCCAGCAGAAAAUGGGGGGAAACGGAUGAAAAAAACGGGCAGAGAUCCCCCAUCCCCAAUUCAAACUUCAAAAUUUAUUCACAAACUUAGAGAGACAACAUUUUUUCAAAAUUUCGCCCCAUUCCCAAAGAGGAAAAAGGGAGAAACGCGUGCUGCUGCGACAUUAAUGUGGAUAGGGACGUCUGAAGAAGAAGCCAAAUCUGUAGUGUACGUCUCUCUGCUCCUCGCUACUUUUCGUCUGAUCGCUCUGUAUUUUUUGUUAUGAACGUUGGGGCUGCUGGGUUUGUAUUGUGAAGGAAAAGGGGAGGUGGGCCGGGUUAAAGGGGGGAAUUGUGGGUUGAGGCGGUAGGGUGAGAAAUAAAAGAAAGGAAAAGGGAAUUGGGGAAAUUACGGUCGGUCAGGUAUUGUUGUUGUUGUCAAGUUGUAUUGUAUGUAGUGUUACAUGUGGGUGGGUUUUGGUAUUAAAUUUGGGCUGGGAAUUAUGGAAUUGCUGAUGGGUUUAAAGAAGGGAUGGAUUGUUGGUAUUAUAUUCUGGGAAUGGGUAUUUGGAAUCAGAUAAAUACAAUGGGUUAUGGGAGUUGGCAAAAUGGCCUGAUUUGGUCUAAAAGAAAAGAGUUCUAUCGGAUUUAACAAUUAGCCAACUUUGAUAAACUAGUGAAUUCGACUAAAAAUUAAAUAAGACGAAUUAAUAUAAUUAACUAACGAGCUUCUUAAUCUUAACGAAAUAAAAUAAUCAACUUAAUUAUUAGUCAAUUUGAAUAACUCAAAAUUAUGACUAUAAAUACUACCAAACUAUAUUAAUAAAAUAUUCAUUUUAACAAAGUAGAAAUCUUUUGAAUAUGAUUUUUAAAUAUUAUAAAAUGUACUAAUCAUAUAUGUAAUUAUAUGAAAUAUAUUUAUCAUUCAAAAUGCUAUAAAAGUCGAUUGAAAUUAUUCAACUAACCUUGAAAUUAUUUAAAUUUUGUAAAGCUAAUUAUUCUAAAUCAUUUAGAAUUUAAGAAGCUCGAUGAUUAAUUUAUAUUGUGGAGGUCCAAAAAUUGGGUGUCAACACUUGCCUUCUUGACCAUGUAGUCUACUAGCUCAUUAGUGAGAGACACUGUGGCCAAGGUCUCGAUGCAACAUAUGUUUGUCGAUGUCUGAGGAAUGCGUCCAUCAAAAGAUGCAACAGGUUCAACAUGUACAUGCUUUAGCCUUGGCAUAUUCCAGAUGGUCAUCGGUAAAAUUGUGCCACUGCCUACUGUUAUUACAAGCAAUACCUCUAGGUUUGAAAGGUUCGAUAUCCAUAAUGGCAUAGAUACCAUAUAGCCUUUGAUUCCUAAGUACUUCAAAUGGAUCAGCUCUUUUGAUCUCUGGAAUGAACUCUCCGACAUAGUACAUUCCAUUUGUAGUACUCUUAAUAGUUUAAAGUUCUCAAGAUCAAGAAAUUCCUGGCAGCCAGAUUUCGGGGGUCUGAAGAAUGCAGAUCGAACUUGCAUGUUUCCAAUCUUCCCUGCCCAAUAAAGGCUAUGAUGAAUGCAAAGCCUCCGGUGCUCAUAAAAGGAACUAGACAAAUCAGUCUUCCCGGUGCUUGUUAGUUGCAUAAACUUCUCUUCCUUAGACUUUGUCACGCAAAAAUCAUGUAACAUAUCAUGAAUGCGGCAUGUUCUGACUCCUCCAGUGGACUUUCUCUUGCUCACCAUUAUCAAGCUUCUACCGAUGAGAUCAUUCAGUAAAAUUUUUGCAUCGAGCCCUAUGUUUGGCACCAAUCCCUCGAUAGUCCAUAACCAUGCCAAGUUUGAGAGUGGAAUUUCUUCAUCCUCCUGAAAUGAUGCAAAAUAUAGAAAGCAGGGUUUGAGAUGAUCUGGCAUGUGCUUGUAGCUCAGUUCUAUAACCUCCAUGCACUCUUUUGCACUAGUAACAGUAUCUAACUUUAUACUUUCUGCGAUUCUUCUCCAACUUUCCUCAUUUUCGCUUAUCCCAGACAAAACUCCAGCAACCAAAAUCACAAGGAGAGGUAGUCCUUUACACUUACUUGCGAUGUUUGCUCCUACUUUUGAUAGGUCAGGCGGGCAAGUUUGUUCCUUGAACAGCUUGAUUCUCAUUAGUUCCCAACUUUCAUUUUCGUCAAGGAAACGAAGGUGAAGAGGUGCUCUAUCAGGUUUAAUUUUUGAAGCCACAUCGCUGAGUCUGCUAGUUAAUAAAAUCCUGCUUCCGUUAUUAUCAUCCGGUAAGCAUCUUCUCAAGUAUUUCCAUGUCUCAACACUCCAUAUGUCAUCAAUGUAGAGAAGGUACUUCUUUCUUAACAGAAAUUUCCGCAAAGCAUCUUCUGGAUUUUUCUCAUUCUGUUGGUUAGAGCCUUUGACUUGAUUCAAAAUUCCGAGCGGCAACUUUCUUCUGUCAUAAGUUUGGGAAACACAACACAUAGCUUGGAUGUCAAAAUGACGCUGCAUUUUCUCAUCAUGAAAAACUUUCUUUGCUAGUGUAGUUUUUCCAAGACCAGGCAUCCCUACGAUAGACACAACAUCCAAGUUCUUUGGUCCUAUAGUGAGCUGUUCGAUUAGCAAGUCAGUCUCAUCCUUAAAACCCACCAUUACCUCAUCAAGUUGUGUAGUCUCAACUACUUGUCUGACAGGAUUUGGUGUUUGUUCUUCAAUAGGGCCUUCAACUUCUUGCGUAAUCGUAGCAUGGAACUCUUUCAAAUGAUCCCUUACAACCUUAGUUUCUGUUGUGAUCUUACAUAACAAAUGUAGAUACCAAACAGGAUAAUCUCCGGUAACCAGGCAAUCAAUUAUGCAUUCUGCCUGGUAUGCUAGAGAUAUGACUUCUGUCCAUAGAUCAUGUUUCUUCACCUCCUCAAACUCAUGUUUUUUCUUCUCAACUUCCUUCAAGAAGUAUCUUAAGAGAUAUAACUCUUCCCGAGCUUCUUCAAUAUGAUGCUUGACAACAGAAUCACACUUUCCGUCUUGCAGCAGCUCUUUNNNNNNNNNNNNNNNNNNNNNNNNNNNNNNNNNNNNNNNNNNNNNNNNNNNNNNNNNNNNNNNNNNNNNNNNNNNNNNNNNNNNNNNNNNNNNNNNNNNNNNNNNNNNNNNNNNNNNNNNNNNNNNNNNNNNNNNNNNNNNNNNNNNNNNNNNNNNNNNNNNNNNNNNNNNNNNNNNNNNNNNNNNNNNNNNNNNNNNNNNNNNNNNNNNNNNNNNNNNNNNNNNNNNNNNNNNNNNNNNNNNNNNNNNNNNNNNNNNNNNNNNNNNNNNNNNNNNNNNNNNNNNNNNNNNNNNNNNNNNNNNNNNNNNNNNNNNNNNNNNNNNNNNNNNNNNNNNNNNNNNNNNNNNNNNNNNNNNNNNNNNNNNNNNNNNNNNNNNNNNNNNNNNNNNNNNNNNNNNNNNNNNNNNNNNNNNNNNNNNNNNNNNNNNNNNNNNNNNNNNNNNNNNNNNNNNNNNNNNNNNNNNNNNNNNNNNNNNNNNNNNNNNNNNNNNNNNNNNNNNNNGCAUUUUCUCAUCAUGAAAAACUUUCUUUGCUAGUGUAGUUUUUCCAAGACCAGGCAUCCCUACGAUAGACACAACAUCCAAGUUCUUUGGUCCUAUAGUGAGCUGUUCGAUUAGCAAGUCAGUCUCAUCCUUAAAACCCACCAUUACCUCAUCAAGUUGUGUAGUCUCAACUACUUGUCUGACAGGAUUUGGUGUUUGUUCUUCAAUAGGGCCUUCAACUUCUUGCGUAAUCGUAGCAUGGAACUCUUUCAAAUGAUCCCUUACAACCUUAGUUUCUGUUGUGAUCUUACAUAACAAAUGUAGAUACCAAACAGGAUAAUCUCCGGUAACCAGGCAAUCAAUUAUGCAUUCUGCCUGGUAUGCUAGAGAUAUGACUUCUGUCCAUAGAUCAUGUUUCUUCACCUCCUCAAACUCAUGUUUUUUCUUCUCAACUUCCUUCAAGAAGUAUCUUAAGAGAUAUAACUCUUCCCGAGCUUCUUCAAUAUGAUGCUUGACAACAGAAUCACACUUUCCGUCUUGCAGCAGCUCUUUUAGAUAGCGUAAGAGGGAAUCGAUGAACCCCAAUCCAUUUGUCCUAGGAAAAUUACAUUUUGAUGACACUACAUCUUUCAAAAUCACAUCUUUUAGAUCUUCCAUGACAUGCUCAAUCUUUUUUAACAAGUCACUGAAUACCGAGUUAACUUCUGCUGCUUUGUCAACGGAGAAAGAGAAAGCAGCAGAUACUACCUCAGCAAUCAGACCUUCAAUGCAAGUAAGUUUGUCACUCAUUUUUUCCUGGAUAACAUAUAAAUCUUCAGGUGGAGAAAUGAGCAAAGUUAUCAAUUGCUUUGAUGCUUCGGCAAGGCUUUUGAUUUGAUCCUUUUUAAGAGGAAGCAUCAAAGAACAUGCCUCACCGUCUGAUAACUCCAACAAAUCCUUGAAGAUGAAAUGAACAAAACCUUCAACAAAUUCUAUCACAUCCCGGCUGUAUUGGAUUUGCAAUUUAACUGAACCUCUUAGAGCUCCAGUAUAGAUUUCUGCAACGUCCGGAUCAAUGGGCUUGAUAUCUUUCAAAACAUGAGAGAUUUGUAGUGUCAACACAGAUGCUGAAUCUCCAUCCAUUUCUUCCACAUAACAAAGGUAACAUAUGUAUGCAGCAUUCACUGUGAUGCCCUCUAUAUGAUUAAAAAGAAUGUUGGAUUUCUCUAGCUCCAUGCUUGCAUCUUUUAUGAAAUUGAGGAAGGUUUUUAGAUAUUUUAGACUUUCUUCAAGGACUUGAAACUCUUUCUUCAGAAGUACAAACUUGUCGAAAUCUUUCUUGUUGAUGAGAAGAUCCUUCACAUUCUGAAGGAUGUGCUCAAUGAAUUUCUGAAACACUGGGCUGCAUAAAUUUGGUAAAGGCCACCUCCCUGGAACCAAUGAAAGGAGAAACUCAUAACCUUCUUUGACUUCAGCAGAAGAUAAGUCUGCCCUUGGUCCCGAGACAGUGUCACCGACUUGCAUUCCAUGUCCGCGCAAUCUCCCCUCCUUAAUCCUUCCUUUUUGAGUUGCCCAAAACAAAAAAGUACCAAGAAAUCUCCUCUCUAUUUCAGACAUUUGUUUUCCAGCAGAAUUUCCUCAGAGUGGAUAUAUGUCGACAGCUCUGCAAGCAAAGAGAUUAAAAGCAAAUCACAUUCUAGGACAAACAAGAAAUUAACACAAAAUUCCUUUAUAUGUUGAUUGCACUCUUCCUCUUGUAUCAGAACAUUAUGCUUGAUUGUAACUAACAAACAGAUAAUAUUUAAGAAAAAGAUGUGUGUGAUCACAAAUAACAAAAACUGUUUGGUUGCACUAAAUGUUUUCUGGAAAAUGUGAAGUUAUAUCUGAAAGUCACAAUGCAUACUCUUAACUCUACACAACUAGGGGAAUGGGGAAAAAAGUCACCAGGAAAAACAAUAACAGAAAAAGAACUGGUUCCAAAGAGUUCUGAUUGUCUACUACUUACUUUUGCCUAAACUAGUUACCCUUUGUUAAUCCAAGCAAGUGAAAUUGUACUGAUACUAGGGUCAACCUUCAAUAUUUCCUAGCGAAUUGUCACGAUUUGUUUUUUUGAUGCUCAGGACAAAAUAAUGACUUCAUAUAUCAAUGCUACUUAUGUGAUUUUGAUUGUCAGGAAGUUUGCUUCAAAAUAGUUAUUACUAUAUAAAUAUUGUCUUUUUGUUUUUCUUAUUUACUAUUUCUUAAUAUUUUCAGUAUUUUAGACGAAGAAAGGUUCAUAUGACUUGUAAUAACGCUAGUUGUAAGUUUGUAUUAGUUUAAUACUUAUUAUUUAUUUAAUAGCUAAUUUUUAUGCUAUAAAUAUUUUUAUUAAUGCAAAUCUCUCUCUCUCUCUCUAAAUAUAUAUAUAUAUAUAUAUUUGGGUAGAUAUUUGUAUUUAAAUUAAUGUAUUAUAUAUGUCACGACUCACAAAUGUAUUAUCAAGUUAACAAAAUCUUCUAACUUCAAUAUAUAUUAUUUUAAAAUGUUCCGAGUUCUUUUUUUAAAAAAAAAAACUCACAACAAAUGUGAAAAUAUGUGAACAUAUAUGAAUCAUUUAAAAUUUAUCAUUUACAAAGUACAUUUUUUAUUCAGUAAUAUGGAAUAAACAUUUUCAUUUUUCCCUACACUAAAUUAAAAUCUAAUAACUAUAAAAAAAUAGUAACAUUAAUUAAAAUCCUAUUUAUUUAUGUAAGUAUAUAAUCUAUUAGAAAUUCAGCUAUUGCACAUUAAUUCUUUAGUUAUAACAUUAUAAAUUCUCUUCGUUAUUACCAAUUAUUGCAAACGUUAUUCACACUCUUUUACAUUCUUUAGUUAUAGUAUUGUGAAUUCUCAUAGUUAUUACAUUAAUUAUUUCUAUCUUUCAUCUUUCCUUAUAUUAACUGUUGACCAAUAAUUUUUUAUAUUAUUAUACAACCCCUAUAUAUGUGAUAACACGGUGUUAUUUUUCCUUGGAUGAAUUAUGCUUAGUUGAAUAAAUUGAAAAUCGUUUACAAGUAUAUGAACUAUAUCUUUGUUGGGUGUAAGAUAAACAUGUGAUUAUAUAUAUGAUUUCACAGAUAGAAUAUAUUCUUUAAUUUUAAUUUUUAGUUUUACCGGUAAAAAAAAGGAAACUUUUCUCAGUUAACUAUGGACAGUCAGAUAACUAUCUUUGAUUUAUGUACACAAUCAAUCGAGAAGUCAAAUAUGAGAACCAACAACAAGAACGUCAGCUAUUAUGCUAUAACUUAUAAAAUAAAAAUUAAUAUACAAAAAUAGUUCUAAAAAAUAAAAUUUUGUUGUUUUCUUCACAUGUUCAUAUGACAUCUAAACAGUUUAACAUGGAAUACAUGUGCAAAACACAUCUAGUUUGACAAGAAAAUACACAACAAAUAUCGUUUAUAAGGUAAUAUUAGUGAGAUACGACUAAUUACAUGAUUAAACCUCAUCAAAUUAAAAUAAAUAUAUACAUUAUUGCAUUUAACAAGUUAGUCAGAAAUAGCUCUAAGGUCACGACUCGGUAUCAUAUUAGAUCAUUGACAUCCCACAUUACCUUUUCAUUACUACUAAAUACCAACUGCCUAUAUAGAAAAUUAGUUCACAGCCCUGCUUUUCGCCAACUUCAGAAUUUUGGAAAUAGAAAGGAGAGUUGACCUUACCUUAAUCAACGGAGUAUAUAAUAUUGAUCUUGGAGAAGUGUCUACGAAAUUUACCUUUUCGUAUGGUAGGAAAGAUGGUUUUUCUAUAUAUAUGUUCAUUUUUUCUUACACAACUCCAUAGCAGCCGUUUCUCUCUCUAAUUAGAUCAUUGAAAUAUCUCAUGAUUUACGGAAGAAAGUCCUCAUUUGCUGCUACCAAUUUCACCACUUUGUCAAACAUCAGUUAAUUGGCAAAGAAAAGUCAAAUAAGACAAAGUUAAACAUUAUUCUUGUCAUUGAUUUCACUCAUGAUAUUAUUAGUAUAGAAAGCAGAAUGAGGUAUACCAGUCGUAUAAAAAAAUAGUCUGGUAAGAAAAAUAGAGCGUUAGCGAUCAUCUGUUAUCGGAACUAGCAAUAUGGAUCCUAACUCAUUAGCUCUUAAGCUAGCCAACUUGUAUAGGUGUUUCAGUACUAAUUCCCAUUUGACAGAGAAUUUAAACUUGUUUGUUGAAUUAAUCCAACAUAUUGACGCUGAAGCAAUAGUCCAUUACAUUGAUAUAUUACACCCUAUGUUCCUAAACACGUUGAAUGAUUCCCUGGUUAAUCUAGACGUGAAGAUCACUGCCCUGACGGCGAUGAGUAACUUCAUUCAACGGGUGGGGAGUUCAAAAGAUAGGGAGAGGUUUCAGGAUCUGUUGCCUGCGAUGAUGGACUUGCUGAAUGAGGCAUUGGAUAAAAAAUGUGAGGCAUCAGCGCAGUCUGAGUUCGAGAUUUUGAUCGAGUUGGCCAAGAAUGAGCCUAGCUUCUUCAGGAUGCAGCUUGUGGUUGUGGUGGGCUCCAUGUUUGAUAUAGCUGAAUGUGAGAGUUAUGAAAAGAAAACGAGACAUUUGGCGGUUGAAUUCGUGAUGACUUUGGUUGAGGCCAGGGAGAAGACCCCUGGCAUGAUCAAGAAGUAUCCAUUGUUUACUGAAAAAUAUUUUGCAAUUUUAUUGAAUUUGUUAGAGGAUGAGGUUUAUGACCCUCUCUUGCCUGAUCCUUAUGAUAUAUGGGAUAGAAAUGAUGAUUUCGUUUUUCUUAAGAUGUGUUUACGGCGGUUGUCCAAUGCGCUGGGUGGUAAGACUGUUGGUCCUGUUGCCUUUGAGCAGCUCCGUGCUCACUUGGCUGACGACUCGUGGCAGAAGCCAUGCGCAGCACUCUAUGCACUUGCUCAGAUUGUUGAAGGCUGCUCAGAGGUGUGUAUUUAUUGAUACACUACUAAGAAUUGCAUUUAAACUGAUUAGUUAACGAUCUUGGGAUAGCAGAAGGUCACCUUGAUUAUACUUUCUUCUGUUAUUCUCUAGACUAAGUACUUUGCUUGCUCUCAUCUCUUCUUCAUUAUAAUAGGUGAUGAUUAAGAAUAUGAAUCUAGUGGUGACAAUGGUUCUGGAUUGUAUGGGACAUCCUCAUCCUGGAGUCAGAUUCACCUCCAUGGAAGCAGUUCGCGAGUUUUUGAGUUUCAUGUGUCCCCAUUUUCAAGAACACUAUCAUCAGCAAGUAGUGCCGGCAUUAAUUAAAGCUAUGGAUGAUGACAGUGUACAAGUGCAGGUCUGUUUGUCCUACGAUGAUAUGAAUUCCUUUGGAUGCUAGUAUCAUUUGUCCCAAAUUACAGUUGCAAAAUUUUCUUACUGAACCUUCUCAAUGGCCUUAACUUUAACUUUAUUAGAUAUAAUCCCUGCUCUAACUUUACUAUCUUCAUAUUUUCCUUCACGUUGGCAUGACUGAAUAUUUGACACUUUACAUCCAUGGAUUACACAAUAAAUUGCUUCAACUGUCGUCACAUACUGUUGAGAAGGUACGUAUUGUAGACUAAGUGCAAGAGAAAUCAGAUCAUUUUCUUGAACAAUGAACAGACAAUAUUACGAAUACAUUAAGGGAAACAACCAUAAUUUCCAAGUUCCCAAUAUAAUUAUCCCGCCGUCCUUUAUAAAUUCAAAGUUUGUUACUCCCUUGAAUGUCCUUGAGGUCUUUACUUGCCUGAUAUAUUUUUGUUUUUGACAUGAAAGGUCCAAUUAUCAGCGUCAGCUGCACUCGAACUUUUGGCUAAGCAUUUUAAGGUAUUACCUAGUAAUUCUGCUUCAACUUUUAUUAAGAGUAUGUUGUAUUUAAGCCUGGUUUUUAUAUAUAUAUUAAUAUUAACAUUACUUCAACAGGAGUUCUAUGGGAACAACUACGAAUCUAAUAAACCACUUUGGAAAGCUUCCCUGGUAGAAGCAAAUUUUCCAAGUAAAGAUGUAGAGAUGAUCAUGUCAGUGCACGAACCUGGCAGUUCGGUACUUCCGAAACAGGUCUUCCACCAGUUAUACCAAAUGGAUUCUAUACAUCUCACUCAACUUAGAGCUUAUUGUUUAUUCGUUUUCUAUUUUUCUGUUGUUGACAUAAUGUCACUUUAAGAUUAUGGAAGCAAUUAUGUCAUUACAAGGAUCACAAGAGGAUGAUAAGGAUACAAGUACGAUCUACAAGCUAAAGGUAUGUGUUGUUGAGAAUAUCGUUAACUAAUAAAAUGGUGUUCUCUCUAAUAGCUUAAGCUUUUAGAUGAGAUGGUCACACACUUCANNNNNNNNNNNNNNNNNNNNNNNNNNNNNNNNNNNNNNNNNNNNNNNNNNNNNNNNNNNNNNNNNNNNNNNNNNNNNNNNNNNNNNNNNNNNNNNNNNNNNNNNNNNNNNNNNNNNNNNNNNNNNNNNNNNNNNNNNNNNNNNNNNNNNNNNNNNCAGGCAGAGGCCCUGGGAUCAAAUCUCUUCGCCACCCAAAUUAAAAAGAAUUUCCACGUGCUAAUCAGUCAGAAAUUCUUUCAAGAUUGGUCUUUCUAUAUUUCUUGAUCUCAUUCCAGGUUGUCACACUUGGACUUCUCUCUUUUUCUUUCUUUCUACCCGUGCUUUUGAUCGCGAACUGAAAAUUUAACAAGUGGUUUCAAUGGCCUAAUGCUUGAUAAAUGAUACAGACUGCUUCAAUUUUAUUUCCACUUUUGAAAUUCCAUUUCAAAGAGGUCAGGUUCCAUACAGUUGAAGGUGAGAUUUCUCAGGAUUUCACAUAGUUAAUUUCUCCGUCUUUUAUAACUAUCUGAUCACCGCCAAGACUUUUUAAUUUGUAAUGUUUAUAGCGAUGAAGCACCUUUUGCAAUCUGCUAAACUGGCUGAUGAGAAAGGGAUUGCUCCAGGUGAAAGCCAUUCGGAUUUCAAGCAGUUUUCGGACAGUAUAAUACUGAAUUUGGUGGAAGCUUUGCAUGAGGUUUACUUUUAACAUUAAGCUUCUUCUUUUUGGAUAAUGAGAAAGUAACACUUUGAUUUCUAUAUAAUGCAGGAGCUUGAAACAGAGAUAUAUGCACAUAUGUUGAAUACAUUACGACUGUGCCUUCAGGUUCGUGAUCUUUAAACACUGCUUAUUUGUUUUGAUCCAAAGUUUUCAGUGUUUCACUAUGAGCUAGGUAUGAAGUUUUUGGAACUGUUGCCUUUAAGUCUAUUGCUUAAAAUGUUCCAUUAGUAUCAUCAAAGUGAGAAACUAGCAAUGGUGACAAAAAUCGAGUUAGAAUGGCAAAAUAGGAUUUUUCAGGUUGUAUAUGGUCCUUGUGUUUCUUCUUUCAGAUAUGUGGACCACUUCUCAAUGAAGAUCAGCUUCGUCCAGUCGUGGAUGAGAUAAAGCAUGUCAUUACAGAAAAUUUAAAUAGCCAAGGAAAACUCACAGAGAGAGAAAAAACAGAAGACUUCGAUGCUGAGGAAGCUGAAUUGCUGAGAGGGGAAAAACAUCAACAAGAUCAAAUAUUUAAACUUGUAUGUUCUAUAUUAAAACAGGAACUAAAGUGAUACACUGUUGUCUUUAUAUAUUCAAGCAUUUUCGCUUUGGUUCUGCUGUUAUUCUUGAACAGGCUGGUGGCAUAUUAGGUAGACUAAUCGAAUCAUUCAAGGUUGUUUUCUUGCCUUACUUUGACGAGCUAUCAUUAUAUCUGAUUCCGAUGUGGGUAAGUUCAUUGACACUAUUGUAACAUGACGUUAGUUUAUCAUUAUUCAUAUCUAGCAUAUCUUAUUGUUUCCGAUUUUUGUUAAGGACAAAGAAAUGACAA